CAGAGAGCAAAGCAGAUUAAUGUCCCCAGAGGUGCUGCCCAGGCCUGACAGCAGCCACUCCAAAUGAUGGAGGUGGUACAGGUACCACACCCAGGUCAAGCUGUAAAGAGCCACCUCUAGGACAGAAGUGCCAGCAUCUGACCUCUGAGGAGCCUGAGGCUAGGACCGCAUCCAGCCACACCUAGGCUCCUCUCUGAGAAGGAGUUUAGAAAGCAAGGAGGUCAGGUCCAAACCUCGGCACUUGGCAGGAGAUCAAGACAUCCCUCUUAAAUGCUUUGGUGGGACAAAGCAGCCCCCAGGGGAGCAUAUAGA